UCUGGAAGGGAAGAAAUAGAAGAAGGAAGCUCUCAAAAACUCAAAGGACAUAGUCCAAGUCUGAAGUUAAUGGGAUUUCCAUGCAUUUGUGACCUUCCCUUAAUCCUGUAGCCAACAACCUGAACCCUUGUCCCUGAUCAUGCCUGAAUAAAAAAGGAUAUUUAUGAUAAAAUUUAACAGAGCAUUGCAGUAAAGAAGCAAGUUGAAAUCAGAACUAGAAUAAAAGCCCAUUUGAAAGGGAUAUUUUGUUAAUAAUACAUGAGAAAUGUGCAUAAUACUUUUUCUGUCUGUACUGGUAAGCCACAAAGGUAAGACUUUCUGAAAUUGCUUUCACAAUUUCUCCUAUAGGGUAAAAUAGGACAGAGCACCUUGAGAUGUCCCUCAGAAGCACUGAACGGAUACAUAUUAAUGAAAGGAUUACGUUCCCAGUGCAGGACAGCAGAAGACAGACAUCACUGUUACGCCUUAGAAGCUGAGUAACUACAUCAGUUGCGAAUUUGUAUGACAAAUUCCACAGCCAGAGAACACACCUGUGCUCACCCAGAGGAUGAUAAGAGCUCCUAAGAGAACAGCCCUUCUGCAGAAGCUCCCCUGCCAGCUCUCUGCUCCUGGUGACCCUCAACAGGAGGUGGCCUCUGCCAGGAAAUGACUCUGGAAUCACUCACAUGGGAGGAUGUGUCUGAUGUAAAGCUUGGAAGCCUUUCCAAGAUGAUGGUGAUAAUUAUUAUUACCAUCUACAUUCUCCCUCACAUAAAAGUGGAGUCCCUCAGGAGGACCCCGGCACAGGUGCACACUGCUGUGGGGGAUGGAGCUGUGCCCUGCUGCACCUAAGAGGUGGAGGUGAAUUCAAUAAGCAUAAGCAGCAAGAGUGGAUAUGCAAGUUGAAGGUCUGUAACAAACCCAACAGCAAAAAGCACUUGAUAAAAUAACAAAGUACCACCGGGCAGAGGUAGGUGCGAAGGAGCAGCUGGCUGCAUGUGUGACACAUGGGAAGCAAGUACAAGAAGUCAACUCUGUCAAGAGCAGGGCAGGUGCCCCUGUGCCUUUGAAAAGAAGAAAGGAAGAAAACACCACCAAGGAAGGGGGAAAAUGAAGUGGAAAAGAAGGUACCCAACAGCAUUGAUGGCUGCCUGCAUCAAAUGGCCUGCAAAGCCACUCACCUUAGAAGUGGAUCAAACCCCAGCAGGGCUGCUCUCUGCCAUUUUAUACCCACAGCUAAUUUGGGAUGCGCUUGUUAAGGACUAAUUGUUUACCUGUGUGGGGAGGGUGGUUAAGAAGUGAGCUGUGGUGAUGUAUUUUGUUAACGAAUGCCAGCUCUGUGAAGUAAAGUCUUGCUUUGAAGCUUAAA